GAAAACAGUCCAACUAUUAUUAUAAUAUUAUGACAUGAAUUCAUCUUCUACGGUAAUUAUGACUGAAGAAGAAGAUCUUCUCUCAGCCUGAAGGUGUCUGACACACAUUGUUCCUCAGAACUUUAAUAAUGUGUUGGGAAACAAAGGGUCUGAUGAUCGGGGCGGAUCAACCACAGAUUAAUGUGAUUCAUAAUCAAUCCUCAGGACGUUUGUCUGGUCUUGAAUUUAUGGAUUUUAAAACUGAGCAAAACCUGAGAACUUUCUCAUGUCAGAGGCUCUUUUCUUCUCUCUUAAAGGAACAUUCCAGCCUGAAAUGCAGCGACGCAGCUCCUCUUGUGCUUCUCCUGAGUCUGGAGGUCUGCUGAAGGUCCUUGAGUAAAUAGGAGCAUGAAGAGUGUCUUUCUUCAAGUCCUCGUCUCGCUGCGUGUCCAACACCUGGUUCCACACUAAUGGGCACAAUACGGCCGUUAUUAAAAGGAAGAACGUUUACGAGAGAACGGAUCAGAUUGAAGAGCUUUUAAAUAUGAGCGCUUGUACAAGCCGUCAUUGGCGGACUAUGAGGACGCCGGAUGGCCUCUGAUUCAUGGAGGGAGAUCUCCACCAACGAGGGGAACAAAGUCGUGGAGGAAAAUACGGGACAAAUGUGUCCUUGAUGAAAAGCAGCAGUGUGGAUGCACGGGGCAAUAAAGUCUAUGAUACAUAAAUAAAGCAACCAGCGACUUCCACACACAAAGACGUGACUCUCCAGGUCGUCUUCAACAAAACACGUGACUCCGCCUGUUGUUCUGGAGGUGAAUCGCUCUGCAACACACGCAGGACUUUACAACCAGGAAGUGAAACCAGUGCGUAAAGACGUGUAAAGACGCAGAAACACGCGGCGGCCUUCAGAGGAGCAGCAGCGCCCCCUAGAGGUCCGAGCCAUUAGAGGCGCAUCCACGUGCACGUAUAGAAAUGCAUCCACAAAUCAUGUCUGAUAUUAUCUUUACAGAUAGUGAAACGUAAUAAUUGAAUAAAUCCUCUGACUUACAUUAGAUACAAUAAGAACAUUUUUUAUCAACCUUUGGAACUACGAUAAAUAAUUAAACUCAUUAUCAACGUUUUGAUUUAAAACAAAUGCAAACAUAAAUACUAAAACUAAAUACAACAACACGUGAUUUUAACUUCAUACAUGAAAUACAGAAUACAUCAUGAGAUCACCAAAGCUAACUUGUUAUUGGUAUAUGUAUUUAUAUAUUUAGAUGUGUUUAUGUAUUUUUAUAAAUGAAUAAAGUGAAAUAUAAGUGUAUUUAAAUAUUAAAUAAUUGAAUAGUGUAUUCAUUUAUAUAUUGUGUAUUUAUUGAUUUAAAUGUUUGCAUUUAUUCAUGUAUUCAUUUCUGAUUUUUUUAAAUUCACUAUUGUAGUUAAUAAUGCAAAUGUGUGUAUUUAAUUGAUAUAGAUACAAAUACAUAUUGUUCCUGUAGUUUUAUUGACUUUAUUCAUGUAGCAUUGCGUUGGGUGUAUUCGAGCAGGUACAUGUAUACAUGUGUGUACUACGCGUAUUACUGGGGCGCGGGGACAGCGUCUCCCGGUGGGAGUGGUCUCCUGCGGGUCACGUGGGCCGAGCCUUUGUUGAUUCGCUUCAGUAGAAACAAGAAGAACAGCAGGACGAAAAGAGAAGACAAGACAGUCCCGGUUCAACCGACCCACCGAAUCCUCCAAUCGUCCCCGGCGCAGACUCGCUCCUCGUCGGCCUGGAUGCUGCUGGAAGCCCGCUCGCCUUUUCACCCGGAUCUCUUUUGUCGGCCGCGGCGCGAGGUUCUCCCCGCCGGUUGGAGCGCGAGGCAGCGGGGGGAUGGAGGCUCGCUGCGGGCUGUGAGCAGACUGGCUUUAGGGGGGUGGAGGUGUGCGUGAGUGGGGGUCGGCCGAAGCCACAGGCCCUGCUUCGCUUUGUUAUCUCGUGUUUUCUCCCCGGAGCUUCUCCUCCUCAACCCGCCGGAGGAGGCUCGUUUGUCCGGAUGUGAAGGUCUCCAGGCUUGGUCUGAGGGACGUAUCCACGCAGUCUUUGUUUGUAGACCUCGACCUCCCCCCCCACAGACCUGAGCCUCUAGCUUUAUUUAAACCUCCAUCCUCCCCGGCUCCACCCCCCUCCCCUCCGGCCUCCAUCAUGGCUGCGGUGUGCCGGGUCUCCUGGUCCUGCUGCCUGCUGGUUCUGCUGGUUCUCCCCACCGUUCGGAGCUCGUUCCCCCGCAGCGGAGCGGACUGCGGCCCCGGGAAGGCCGCCGACUGCCCAGGUGAGAAACAACAACAACAACCCUCUGCACCUGUCUGCAGCAGGUCUUCUCUUGUCAGCUGGUCUUCUGAUCAUGUGGAGGUUUGAAGGGGUCAAAGGUCACAGUUUGACCCCCCCCCCUCUCCCCUUCUCCUUCAAGCUCCAGCUGAUCAUUAGUCCAGCUGUUGUGUGGACACAUCUUUUAGUUCUCCGUUGUCAUGGCGACCAGUUUCCUUUGGCCC
ensembl:lncRNA